AUCCUUUUGUGAUUCAUAAGUGUGACAAUUGGGUGUUCACGCGCAUGCAUAACGUGCCACCCUCGAACCUUUUUACACACUGCACCAGCACAUUAUCCGUCUGAUG